rnacentral:lncRNA from 1 species
GGGCCUCUCCGCGAGCUGCCCCCAGAGUCGAGGGGUGCCGGGGGCGUGGGCUGGGCGGCACAGGCCUUGGUCUGUGGGAGCCUAAAGGAGGGCACCGUGUUAAGGCAGAGGUUCUGCAGGAGAGGGCGGCCUGUGCACAGAGCAGGAAGGUAACCCUGGGGGAGGAGGCAUGCUAGUCGGGUAUGACAUCAUGGCAGAGAUGGAGGUGGUGGCCAAGGAAGAGGCCAAUGUGGAGCGGCAGCAGGAGGACCAGCAGGCACAGCCUGGCCCUGGCCCCAGUACGCCCCGGCUGGCAAAGGACUGGCUGCACGUCCUUCACUUGGAGCUGGGCUGAGUGAAUGCCCCAGGCCGCAAGGCAAGGAUGAAGCUUUCCUUUCAUCACAACUUUUACUUCCACAAUGAAGUGAUCAUUCAGGAGUAUUGUGUUGAUACAGGAUGAUUCAUUCGACUGCAGUCCAGUGGUUCUGGAAUCAUGAAGGUCAAGCCUUCAGCUGCAAGCAGUACAGCUCCUACCUGAGCUUCUUCAGCUGGUUGGCUGACCAUGACUGCCCAGGUUCUGGCAGGAUUGCUGAGUCCCCUAGAUCAUCAGCCAGGGACUGUGGCUCAAUCCCCUGCAGUACUUCCAGAGGG